CCGCACAAGCGGAGGAACAUGUGGUUUAAUUCGAUGAUACGCGAGGAACCUUACCCGGGCUUGAAAGUUAGUAAUUAAUGUUGCAGAAAUGCGACUGGGUCAGCAAUGACGACGAAACUAGGUGCUGCAUGGUUGUCGUCAGCUCGUGCCGUGAGGUGUCGGCUUAAGUGCCAUAACGAGCGCAACCCUUGCCGUUAGUUGCCAGCGGGUAAUGCCGGGAACUCUAGCGGGACUGCUACUGUAAGGUAGAGGAAGGUGGGGAUGACGUCAAAUCAGCACGGCCCUUACGUCCGGGGCGACACACGUGUUACAAUGGCAGGUACAGAGGGUUGCUACCCCGCGAGGGGAUGCUAAUCUCAUAAAACCUGUCUCAGUUCGGAUCGGAGUCUGCAACUCGACUCCGUGAAGCUGGAUUCGCUAGUAAUCGCGCAUCAGCCAUGGCGCGGUGAAUACGUUCCCGGGCCUUGUACACACCGCCCGUCAAGCCAUGGAAGCUGGGAGUACCUGAAGUCUGCAACCGCAAGGAGCGGCCUAGGGUAAAACUGGUAACUGGGGCU
rnacentral:rRNA from 1 species